UAGUACUUUCAAGUACACCUACUUCCUUUUCAUUGGACAAAACCCUUCUUAUCUUCCCUCUUUAAAUCAAAUCAAUAACUGCUCCUUUUUCUCUCAUCCUUCCUCCCAAAACCGUCGAUCUCUCUUCAUUCUCAAUGGCAAGAACCAAGAACACCGGCCGCAUUCCAGCUCCCAUUCCUCCACCAACUGCUGAAAAUGAAUCACC
rnacentral:lncRNA from 1 species